AAUGAACGCUGGCGGCGUGCCUAACACAUGCAAGUCGAACGAGAAAGUCCGAGCUUGCUCGGACGAGUAAAGUGGCGCACGGGUGAGUAACGCGUGGGUAACCUGCCCUUGAAACCGGAAUAACUUCGCGAAAGCGUUGCUAAUACCGGAUAUUGUCCUUUUUGCCGUUGGCAUAAAGGAUGAAAGGUGACCUCUUCAUGAAAGUUGCCGUUGAAGGAGGGGCUCGCGUACCAUUAGCUUGUUGGUAGGGUAACGGCCUACCAAGGCUACGAUGGUUAGCUGGUUUGAGAGGAUGAUCAGCCACACUGGAACUGAAACACGGUCCAGACUCCUACGGGAGGCAGCAGUGAGGAAUUUUGCGCAAUGGGGGCAACCCUGACGCAGCAACGCCGCGUGAGUGAAGAAGGCUUUCGGGUCGUAAAGCUCUGUCAAGGGGGAAAAAAUCCUUUCGAUCAAUAGUCAGUAAGGACUGAUGGUACCCCUAGAGGAAGCACCGGCUAACUCCGUG
rnacentral:rRNA from 1 species